rnacentral:rRNA from 3 species
AGUAGGGAAUCUUCCGCAAUGGACGAAAGUCUGACGGAGCAACGCCGCGUGAGUGAUGAAGGCUUUCGGGUCGUAAAACUCUGUUGUUAGGGAAGAACAAGUGCUAGUUGAAUAAGCUGGCACCUUGACGGUACCUAACCAGAAAGCCACGGCUAACUACGUGCCAGCAGCCGCGGUAAUACGUAGGUGGCAAGCGUUAUCCGGAAUUAUUGGGCGUAAAGCGCGCGCAGGUGGUUUCUUAAGUCUGAUGUGAAAGCCCACGGCUCAACCGUGGAGGGUCAUUGGAAACUGGGAGACUUGAGUGCAGAAGAGGAAAGUGGAAUUCCAUGUGUAGCGGUGAAAUGCGUAGAGAUAUGGAGGAACACCAGUGGCGAAGGCGACUUUCUGGUCUGUAACUGACACUGAGGCGCGAAAGCGUGGGGAGCAAACAGGAUUAGAUACCCUGGUAGUCCACGCCGUAAACGAUGAGUGCUAAGUGUUAGAGGGUUUCCGCCCUUUAGUGCUGAAGUUAACGCAUUAAGCACUCCGCCUGGGGAGUACGGCCGCAAGGCUGAAACUCAAAG